UACAGGGGGUGCAAACGUUGCUCGGAAUUAUUGGGCGUAAAGAGCUCGUAGGCGGUUUGUCGCGUCUGCUGUGAAAACUGGGGGCUCAACCCCCAGCCUGCAGUGGGUACGGGCAGACUAGAGUGCGGUAGGGGAGAUUGGAAUUCCUGGUGUAGCGGUGGAAUGCGCAGAUAUCAGGAGGAACACCGAUGGCGAAGGCAGAUCUCUGGGCCGUAACUGACGCUGAGGAGCGAAAGCAUGGGGAGCGAACAGG
rnacentral:rRNA from 1 species